CCUGGCAGAAACUUUGUAAACAAGUCUUGCACGUUGUGCGAAAAACCUUUUAUUUAAUCAUUGCGAAGAGUCAUGUAGUUGGAAGAGUCGUACGCCUUGAAGACUUCACGAAGAGAUUAUUAGAUAUGGGUGGCUGCCGAAAACCCAAACCUAUUCCAAAUCAAGGUGCCACAGUCUGUCUAAAGAAAGGAGAGCAUAAAAGCUGUGAAAUGGAGGAGAUGGUAUGCCUUCAUCCUUAUGGCCAUAGCAUGGCCAGGUCUUCCAACACAUGGGGUCAUUCUGAGGCUGGUGCCUUGACUGCGGGUACAGCCAAAAAGCUGAGACGAAAAGCCUGGAAAUCCCGAAUUCUCAUCACCAGCUCUGGAUCACUAUUUUGAACAGGAUCCCACCUGUGAACAGCAGCUCUAACUUAUAAUUCUCAAGGAAGAGGACAAAAACAAGGCUCAAGGAAACAGCAACACAAACUUCAACAGUCAUCCACAACAGUCGGAAUGGACUUCACAAUCCUAUCUUUUUGGGAUAUUAACCCAGAGUGAAUUUCACUCCUGGUGUUGACUUCCUGUGUUCGUUCGGACAGAGAACUCAGCCAUGUUGUUUCAUUGAGGCAUAUGAAGCGUCCUGUGAUUUUCAUGCUGCACCAAUAGGAACAGGUGCCAGGUGCUUCUUGUCACAGGGCCCUCCUUUUUGUCCAUUUGCAUAGACAGAUGUUUACAGGUCCCUUCUGGGUCUCGCUUUAUCUAUCUCAAAGUGUGUGUCCAUGUAUGUUUCUUUGUGUGUGUGUGAUUACACAAAUAAGAGCUGUGUGUGUG